GCAAAACAAGCGGCGCGCUUUUCAUAAUUAACUUUCUCUCAUUUAUUGCUGGUAAUUGGGUGACUUUAAGGUUGUAUCAUUAGUUUUUAUGCUGUGGAUUGGAAAAAAGAUAUGAAAUAGCUCGACUGUAUGGACUAUGAAUAACUUAAACAUUAAACGCAUGAAGCGGUUAUUUGAUUUUCUUCUUUACUUAGAGCCAAAAGUGUUCUUUCAAUCUCUGCAGAAUCAGAUAAAGAGAAAAAAGGAAAUCGAGUACUUCCACGAAAGUGAAAGAUCAAAUUAAAGUCGAGAUGAACUGGGGAAGUAGCUGUGGAGCGAAUGGUGAGCUGCCAUCGACGUCCAAGCGUCAAUUCGAAUAUGGGGAAGGACAACGUCCCACACGCAAG